rnacentral:rRNA from 1 species
AGCUCCAAUAGCGUAUAUUAAAGUUGUUGCAGUUAAAAAGCUCGUAGUUGGAUUUCUGGUGGGGGCGAUCGGUCCGCCCCGCAAGGGGUGUGUACUAGCGUCGUCUCCGGCCAUCCUUGUGGGAACUGCUCUGUCCUUAGUUGGAUGGGGUUUGGGAACACGUCGUUUACUGUGAAAAAAUUAGAGUGUUUAAAGCAGGCUUAGGCCGUUGAAUACAUUAGCAUGGAAUAAUAAGAUAAGACUUGGGUCAUUAUUUUGUUGGUUUGCGGAUCGAGGUUAUGAUUAAUAGGGAUAGUUGGGGGUAUUCAUAUUUAAUUGUCAGAGGUGAAAUUCUUGGAUUUAUGAAAGAUGAACUUAGGCGAAAGCAUUUACCAAGGAUGUUUUUA